AGAGAGACGCCUUCACCAUCUGCGACUCGCCCCCGUGGCCACCGUCAAUAGCAUUGCCGGCGACGGCAAACACCAUCGGAACUAUACUUAGAUUGGGUUCAGAUAUAAGGGUUAGAGAAGAUGAGUCGCGGGAUUAGCAAGAGGCCAUACUCGAAAGGUUCGCGCCUUGUGUGAAUCCAGUGCCUGGGUCCCUCGCCGGUGAAGAUGAAGACACUGUUUUGUUCCUUUUUUUUUGUUGUAUUUUUCUGGUGAAUGCACAGUUUAAUGGUUCAUGCUCAUUGUUGAUGAUUGGGGAUGGAAAGGGUUGGAUGUCGUGGUGAGAGAGGAGGCGGGUUAGAUAAAAGGGGUAGCAGGGUGAGGCUGCGGAUGAUGGCACCGGCGAGGAGAUUAGGUUACUGCUCUUUUGAAUUUUUUCUGUGUUUCAGGUUCCUGCUCAUUAUUCGGCCUUGUUGCUGGUGGGUUUGAAUUCAUUUGAGAAAGAGGGUAUAGUGCCAUUGAGAAGAGAUUACAGAGAUAAUGAAAAUGUUUGGAUUAUUGCUUUGCAGCAUUUAGCACUGAGAUUCUAGGGAAAUAAGAUGGAUGUACAUGGUGGUGAAUGUGGAGUCGGGGUGGUGUGAACCGGUCCCAGUGACCGGUGCUGAUGGUAAACGAUAAAUGGAGGAGCAAGAUUCACAUACUCAAGAGCAGUAUACAUGAUGCUUAGCAGUUAAAAUGAAGCAUAUUAUCUAGCAUUACUAUGAUAACACAAAGUAGAUUGCUUACCCUCAAGAAUUCUGUGCUGAGUUACUGUGCUAUUGACUUCCGGCGAUUCUCCGACAAGGCUCCAAUCACCUUCACCCUUGUGACGUUUCUCUUGUGUUUUUUUUUUCUCUGCUUCUGAUUUCCCUUUUCUCCAAUCACCCUGCCAUUCUCUUUUUCCCCCAGAAUCCUCUAACGGUAAUAUUCCCUUUCACCUGCCCCCACCCACACGCACAAUUCGAUUCUGUUUUUUUCUUACACACACACGCGCUUCCCCCUCCCCUGCACACACACACCCUCUCGUCGCAUUACACGUUUUAAUUAUUAUUUUUUUAAUUUUUUAUUUUUGUUAUCNAC
rnacentral:lncRNA from 1 species